UUUAUAUUUUCAUUUUGAUAGUAGGAGAAGCAAAAACGUGUUCUGAUGGAUGGACUUGUGUAGGAGAAGACAAAUGCAAAGUAAACUGCAUGGCUAAACACAAAGGAGUUGGAACAUGUACUUUGUAUAUUAUUCCUUCUUUCCCUGCUCCGAUAACUUCUUAUAUUUGCGAUUGCAUGUUUGAUUGCUAACCUUUCUGUUCAAACUAUCUUUGUAAACUAUUAAAUCUUAUGAUAAAGGAAUAAAUUAAAAAU
rnacentral:sRNA from 1 species